rnacentral:rRNA from 1 species
UACGAAGGGGGCUAGCGUUGCUCGGAAUCACUGGGCGUAAAGCGCACGUAGGCGGAUCGUUAAGUCGGGGGUGAAAUCCUGGAGCUCAACUCCAGAACUGCCUUCGAUACUGGCGAUCUUCGAGUCCGGGAGAGGUGAGUGGAACUCCGAGUGUAGAGGUGAAAUUCGUAGAUAUUCGGAAGAACACCAGUGGCGAAGGCGGCUCACUGGCCCGGUACUGACGCUGAGGUGCGAAAGCGUGGGGAGCAAACAGG